GAUGAACGCUGGCGGCGUGCCUAAUACAUGCAAGUCGAGCGAACAGACGAGGCGCUUGCUCCUCUGACGUUAGCGGCGGACGGGUGAGUAACACGUGGAUAACCUACCUAUAAGACUGGGAUAACUUCGGGAAACCGGAGCUAAUACCGGAUAAUAUAUUGAACCGCAUGGUUCAAUAGUGAAAGACGGUUUUGCUGUCACUUAUAGAUGGAUCCGCGCCGCAUUAGCUAGUUGGUAAGGUAACGGCUUACCAAGGCAACGAUGCGUAGCCGACCUGAGAGGGUGAUAGGCCACACUGGAACUGAGACACGGUCCAGACUCCUACGGGAGGCAGCAGUAGGGAAUCUUCCGCAAUGGGCGAAAGCCUGACGGAGCAACGCCGCGUGAGUGAUGAAGGUCUUCGGAUCGUAAAACUCUGUUAUUAGGGAAGAACAAAUGUGUAAGUAACUAUGCACGUCUUGACGGUACCUAAUCAGAAAGCCACGGCUAACUACGUG
rnacentral:rRNA from 1 species